rnacentral:lncRNA from 1 species
CAGUCCCAGAGGAAAGGCCUGUCCUCCAAGCCAAUGUGCAGCCUGACUCUGGGGCCAGCGCCUGAGGAAGCCCUCCCUGAGCCCCAGCCCUGGGGAAGGCUGAAGAGGCCUCUGAGCUCCCAGCGCUGGGGAGCGCUGUGCAGAAUAGGACUGGAGGCAGUUUGGGGUUUCAGCAGGUGGCCCGGUGCUGAGACACAAGGGAGUUGUUUCUGGUCUGCAGACACUGAGGACACUUGCUAUGUGGCGUGGUGGAUGGUGGCUUCCAAUUGUGGACAAGAUAAGGACCAUUGCCCAGGCUGUCUAUGGAGCCAAAGAUAUCGAACUCUGUCCUGAGGCACAAGUCAAAAUAGAUCGUUACACUCAGCAGGGUUUUGGAAAUUUGCCCAUCUGCAUGGCAAAGACCGAUCUUUCUCUGUCUCACCAACCUGACAAAAAAGGUGUGCCAAGGGACUUCAUCUUACCUAUCAGUGAUGUCC